CUCUGGCCUCAAAUCAGGUAGGACUACCCGCUGAACUUAAGCAUAUCAAUAAGCGGAGGAAAAGAAACUAACAAGGAUUCCCCUAGUAACGGCGAGUGAACCGGGAAAAGCUCAAAUUUGAAAUCUGGCUGUCUUCGAUAGUCCGAGUUGUAAUCUAUAGAAGCGUUUUCCGUGCUGAACUGUGUCUAAGUCCCUUGGAACAGGGUAUCAAAGAGGGUGAUAAUCCCGUACUUGACACAACCAUCAGUGCUCUGUGAUACGUUCUCUACGAGUCGAGUUGUUGGGA
rnacentral:rRNA from 1 species